CCCGCAUUGCCUCCACGCCGCCUCGAUCGACACCGUCAUCCCCGCCGCGUCCAGAUUGUAGCUACGCCACCUCGGGUCAACGCCGCCAUCCACGCCGCGUCGAGCUCGCCUCUGCGCCGCCUGAGUCGUCACCACCGUCCCCGCCGCGCUGCCACCAUCCUUCCUCUCCGCCGCCGCCGCCGCCGCCGCCACCGGCCCGCGCGGCACUUCCUCCUCUGCCCCCAUCCCCAGCCCUACGCCGACCCAACCCCUGCGCCCACCGCACCCACACUCUGCGGUGCAGGGGCCACCGCCGCAUCCCUGACCCCUCUACCACGACCCGACUCCGGCACCCAUGCCGCCCACGCGCCCGGGGUCUACCCGGACGAGCUCAUCGCUUGUUCCUCAUCCGGCGCGUAGCAGCGGCGGCGGCAAGGACGUGGAGAUGGUUGGGGAGCGCCUCUAGGACGUGGGGAUCUGGAACGGCUCCACCAGCAGCGCUGCAGGAGAUGCUUCUGCACCUAAGCCGGAAGAGAUGAAACGCCUGCCUGGUGGUAAGGUCAAGAAAAAGGUUGGUUCCCUCUCACACAGUUUUUAUAAUUCACCUCACAUUGAGUCACGAUAAUUACUGGCCUGCUAAAUCUACUGUUAAACGAUAGUUUGAAGUUCAGAAAUUCGAGUUAUUUUUUGUGAGAGUGAACCUCACAGGAGCGUCCAGAUAUUUUAGAUUUUUUGUGUUCAGUUCGGAGAUGAUAGAUGGAGUUUUUGGGUAAUCCUUUUCAAAAGGGAAACAAAAAGAGAAUUUGAAACAAUGUUCUCUAAGUUAAGCUGCUAGGUGUUUUCUGAAUGAAUUGUUAAGCACAAGCAGAUCUUCCUCUUGCUGCUCAGAAGAUAGAUGGAGUUUGAAGUCAAUUCCAUUCAAAAGAAGAAAAGCAAGACUUCAGGACCAUGUCCUCUGAAUUAAGCAGCUGGGAUGCUUCCCAAACAAAUAGUUGAGUACAAACGGGUCUUCCACUUAGCUGCUUUAACCUUGCCAGAAUUCUUUCCUUGGCAUUAUACUCAUGGAGAUGUGUUCUCUAAUGAAAACUGGGUUGUAGGAAAGCGAUCUCUUUUCUAAAGAUGUCUCAUCAUAUGAUUCUUUCCUGUUUGUUAUUUGGUUUUGAAAAGGUGUACUGGAAACUGCCUGGUGAUCCUUAUAUUAAUAAUCUAAAAUAGUAAAUGACUGAGCCUUCGCAACUGAGGCUCCUUCAAUUAGAUAUAGGAUUUCUUGGUAAGAACAUACCAAGAAUUUUUUGUAAUGAAUAAUUCUUGUAUGACCAUCAAAUUUUCCAUUGGCAUAAGUUACAGUAUAUUUAUAUGUUAGAUAUGUAACCAUGUUCUCA